rfam:Rozella allomycis CSF55 unplaced genomic scaffold scaffold_1183, whole genome shotgun sequence.
UACUCGGCUUCUUUAGAAGCCAUUCCUUUUAAAGAUAUCACAUUGU